rnacentral:rRNA from 1 species
GAUGAACGCUGGCGGCGUGCCUAAUACAUGCCAGUCGAGCGAACAGACGAGGAGCUUGCUCCUCUGACGUUAGCGGCGGACGGGUGAGUAACACGUGGAUAACCUACCUAUAAGACUGGGAUAACUUCGGGAAACCGGAGCUAAUACCGGAUAAUAUAUUGAACCGCAUGGUUCAAUAGUGAAAGACGGUUUUGCUGUCACUUAUAGAUGGAUCCGCGCCGCAUUAGCUAGUUGGUAAGGUAACGGCUUACCAAGGCAACGAUGCGUAGCCGACCUGAGAGGGUGAUCGGCCACACUGGAACUGAGACACGGUCCAGACUCCUACGGGAGGCAGCAGUAGGGAAUCUUCCGCAAUGGGCGAAAGCCUGACGGAGCAACGCCGCGUGAGUGAUGAAGGUCUUCGGAUCGUAAAACGCUGUUAUUAGGGAAGAACAAAUGUGUAAGUAACUAUGCACGUCUGGACGGUACCUAAUCAGAAAGCCACGGCUAACUACGU